AGAGCAGCACCUUCAGAGGAGGGAGCAAUCUUCUAUGUGGCUCCAAAGUGAAUUUUAUCCUGGGAAGACAGAGAGCGUGGGGAUGUUGGGGGAACGAGGCUCCUCCGGACUGCUGUGGGAAGGAAGCACUUUCACAGUGAAGAGAUGUAUUUGACCCGUGUGACCUGCAGAAUGUCCAGAUAUCGAUGCAACUGAAGAGGAUGACAUUAGACAAUCGUGCUUCACAAACGGGGAACUAAGGCACAAAAUGGGAGAGUGAUCUGAGGGAUGCGGUGAUAAUAAGACAAAUGGAGACAUGGACUUCCGGUGGUCCAGCAGACUUUCUCUUCAUGGUUCCAGGUAGGCUCGUGAGCAGACCUCUUUCCAGCUCUGGACUAUGGAUGAGAGAAGUGGGUGAGGGGUGUGAAGAAACAGCCGAGAACACACAGCUGCGGCUCUGACCCCAAGCCUGAGAUCUGGUCCUCUGCAUUCAUCCUGAUCUGGGCCCUGACCCCCAGAGUCUGGGGCAGGUGUCCUGGCUUAAUACCAAGAAGACUGGGGUUAGUUUUCUCUUAAGAAAUCUUGACACAAAGUAGAAACUGGACCAUGUCAAAGGGGAGAAGUCUAGAGCUGAGAUGUGGCAGCGUCUCAGGCUUGUCCUCAGGCCAGCUGGUGCUCUAAUCCCAGAUCAUAGGCAUGACAGGUGAUAAACUCCAGAUUCUGUCCCAGGGCCUCAGCUCAGUGUGGACCCCUGCUUGACACAGCCCAUUUAAACUGUACGUCAUACAACGCUAGCUGUUCUGCAUAUCACCCCUGCUACCUCAUCUAGCCUCCCCUCCCACCUAGCAGGGAAUCUGCUUUGGUUCCAACAGCGCUAGGUGAUUCUCGGGAUCUUACCUAACCACCUGCAGUGAUUCCACAGUGUGCAUCAGCCGCUGCCUCUGCUUUCUCUAAGGCUCCUGGGAACUCCAGGUCAUGAAGGAGCCUUAACUCUUUGUAGCUGUCUAUAUAUUGCUGUGUGAAGUUUAGUAUGUGGCCUGCAAGCUAAUAUUAACAAUUAAGUUUGGAAUAAAAGAACCUGUGAUU